GAUGAACGUUGGCGGUGUGCCUAAUACAUGCAAGUCGAACGGAGAUUGUAGCAAUACGGUCUUAGUGGCGAACGGGUGAGUAACGCGUUGGUGAUCUGCCUCGAAGUGUGGAAUAACGAUUCGAAAGAAUCGCUAAUACCGCAUAGUCUCUCUUUUUCCAGAAAUUUGAGAGUAAAGGAUUUAUUCGCUUUGAGAGGAGCCUGCGUCCCAUCAGCUAGUUGGUAAGGUAAUGGCCUACCAAGGCGAUGACGGGUAGGGGACCUGAGAGGGUGGCCCCCCACAAUGGAACUGAAACACGGUCCAUACACCUACGGGUGGCAGCAGUAGGGAAUAUUAGAAAUGGACGAAAGUCUGAUCUAGCAACACCGCGUGUGCGAAGAAGGCCUUCGGGUUGUAAAGCACUUUUUGGAAGGAUUAGGAAGGAAUGUACUCAGAAUAAGUCUCGGCUAACUACGUGCCAGCAGCCGCGGUAAGAGUACUCUAU
rnacentral:rRNA from 1 species